UUGAAUGCCAUCGGUGAUUAUUUAAUUGAAUUAUUAUUUUAUAUUACAAGCUAUCAAUCUUGAAUCUAAUCAGGAUUCAUACAGGAAUGCAAACAGCAUCCUACCACACUUUAUAUUAUGAGUAUUUCCAAUUUAGCACCAAAUAAAGUGUUCUUGGCUUUCAGAUUAAAAAAGUGUUCUUGGCUUGCAAAAACUCUUCAUGCUUGCCUGCCAGCCCUUGUUCAGUCAGACUUUGACAAAUCAUCAUUUCUCUGUUUUAGCUCCCUCUCCAAUCUGGUAUUUCCAAGCCCAGCUCUCUCCUCUAACCAAUCAAUAAUAUCCUUGAAAACCACCUCAAUAUUUUCUAUUGGCUCCCCAUAAAGCAAGCCAUGCCACAUUCCUGGAUAUAGCUUGAUUGUCUUGUCUGUGCUUGAAGCUACAUCGUAAAGUUGUUUGCUAACAGAUUUAUCGGUCACUUUGUCGUCUUCGCCAUGGAGAACCAGAAAUGGCAAUGAAACCUCUUCAAGCUUUUGCUCUAUUUGCAUUGUAGCUCUUAGAAGUUCAUAUCCAGUUUUCAAGCGAGGCCUGCCUUUGUAGCAAUAUGGGUUUGAUCUAAUCUCUUGUCUUACUUCAGGUACUUUAAAUGCAACAUCAAUGAUAUCCUUUGAAGGGAUUAUUUUCCAAGUUGGAAUGUAACCGCUUAGCUUUGUGAGAAUACUGAUUACCAUUGGAUGCGGCUUCAUAUCUUCUGCAAUCUUACACAUGGGUGCCACCAAUAUUGCACCAUCCCAAAACUCUGGCUUUUCCCUAUGCAAAAGCAGAGCCACUGCUCCUCCCAUGGAUUCUCCUAGCAAAUAUCUCAUCUUCUUUCUGUUCUCUUCCUUCUCACAUAUGCUUGUAAAAUGUACAGAGCAAUCAUCAAUAACAUUAUCCAUAUUAUCAACAUAGCCGUCUAAUCCUGCAGAUUUUCCAUGUCCUUCAUAAUCUAUACCAUAAAUUGCAAAUCCUUCCUUUGCAAGACGAUUUGCAGUGCUGUUCAUGGUGAUGCUGCAUUCCAUGGCAUAGCCAUGGCAGAUAAAGAUCAAAGCUUUUGGUUCUUGGUUUACAGGAAUCCAUCUGCAUGUGAAUAGCUUCAAUCCUCUUGAAUUCAAGAUGAACUCCUCAUCAUAUCUGAUGUUUCCUGCCUCUUUUGCCUGCAAAUAUUGAAGAACAAGAAAUCAAAAUAAAUAAAGAAACAAAACACCAAUCAAUUCAUAGAAGCAGAAGAUGAUACAGAGGGAGAAAG
rnacentral:misc_RNA from 1 species